UACGAAGGGUGCAAGCGUUACUCGGAAUUACUGGGCGUAAAGCGAGCGCAGGCGGCUUAUUAAGUCGGGUGUGAAAGCCCGGGGCUCAACCCCGGAACUGCAUCCGAAACUGAUAAGCUAGAGGAUGAGAGAGGAAAGUAGAAUUUCUGGUGUAGAGGUGAAAUUCGUUGAUAUCAGAAGGAAUACCCGUGGCGAAGUCGGCUUUCUGGCUCAUUUCUGACGCUGAGGCUCGAAAGUGUGGGUAGCAAACAGG
rnacentral:rRNA from 1 species